AGUUGAAAACUAUACCCCAAUACCCCGCCCUGUGGACGUGUAAACCGUUCGCUGUGGCAAUUUCUGAUGGGUUCCCCGGAAC
rnacentral:snRNA from 1 species